rnacentral:rRNA from 1 species
UGGCUGUAACUAUAACGGUCCUAAGGUAGCAAAUUUCCUUGUCGUCCUAAUAACGACCUGCAUGAAACAUAGAACGAAUCGAUAGCUGUCUUGCACACACAUCAUGGUAAAAUAUUCAUCAGUACAAAGAAUAUGCUGUCUAAGUAAUACAUCUAACUAAAGGACAAAAAGACCCUUUGAAGCUUUAUAGGGAUAAAACUUUGAUUGCAUUUUUUAGCUUAGGCCGCUCAAAGAUCUAUAUCUGAGGUGUGCCUUAAUAAAUUUAUUUAUUGGUCUUGCCUUUAAAAUAAAGAUCAAGACCACUGUUUAAUUGGGGCGAUAACCUUAUUUAAUCUACCUAAGGUGAACAAAGCGAUACAAGGAUUCUCCUAAAUCACACCUCAGAUAUAGAUCUUUAACCCCCGAUUGGCCUAGGCUGUUAAUGAUCUAUAUCUGAGGUGUGCACGAUGACCAACUAAUAAGUGCAAAGAUACAUGUUUUGCUUAAUGGCCCAAUCAAGUCCUUCCCAGUACUUAAAUGCUAUCUUAAUGAGCUUUAAAUUAAUCUACCAACACUAAGCUACUCUACGGAUAACAGGCUUAAUUUCCGCAAUAUCUAAGUUCAUAUUAUCAAGAAAAAUGCACCUCGAUGUCGGCUUAUCAUCACCAAAAUAUGUAGCUAGCUUAUUGGUGGGAGUGCUCAUCCCGUAAAUAGGUACGUGAGCUGGGUUCAAUACAAUGGA